GUCAGCAGACAUAGUAUCUGCAGCUCAGACAAGGUUAUUGAUCUGAAACUAAGCAGGUUUUGACCUGGCCAGUACUUGGAUGGGAGACCAACUAGGAAAGCUGGGUUCCUGCUGGAU
rnacentral:rRNA from 1 species